CCUGGUUUUACAUCUAGUAUGUUUAGCCAAUAAAUUCUAUUGUUAUAAUUAAUACAUAUUAGAUCUUUUUUCGUAAGACAU
rnacentral:tRNA from 1 species